rnacentral:tRNA from 1 species
GGCGAGGUAGCUCAGCUGGUUAGAGCGUAUGAUUCAUAAUCAUGAGGUCGCGGGUUCAAGUCCCGCUCUCGCUAC